rnacentral:rRNA from 1 species
UUGAAGGGUUUGAUCCUGGCUCAGAACGAACGGUGGCGACGUGCUUAUUCCAUGCAAGUCGAGCGAGAAGUUCCUUCGGGAAUGGAGAGCGGCGAAAGGGUGAGUAACGUAUGAAUGACCUACCUUCAAGAGGGGGAUAACAGUUCGAAAGGGCUGCUAAUACCGCAUAAGGUUACAUUGGUGCAUGCUGGUGUAAUUAAAGUGGGGGAUCUUCGGACCUCACGCUUGGAGAGGGGUUUGUAUUCUAUUAGCUAGUUGGUGGGGUAAUGGCCUACCAAGGCGAUGAUGGAUAGCCGGCCUGAGAGGGUGGACGGUCACACGGGCACUGAGACACGGGCCCGACUCCUACGGGAGGCAGCAGGAAGGAAUAUUGGGCAAUGGGCGCAAGCCUGACCCAGCGACGUCGUGUGGAGGAAUAAGGCCUUCGGGUUGUAAACUCCUAACAAGUGUUAGUAAGGUGCAGACGCUAAUAUCGUCUGUAAUUGAAAAAGGCACAAGAUGAAGUCAUGGCUAACUCCGUGCCAGCAGCCGCGGUAAUACGGAGAUGG